UAAGGAAUAUUGGUCAAUGGACGAAAGUCUGAACCAGCCAUGCCGCGUGAAGGAUUAAGGUCCUCUGGAUUGUAAACUUCUUUUAUAUGGGACGAAAAAAGGGCAUUCUUGCUCACUUGACGGUACUAUAUGAAUAAGCACCGGCUAACUCCGUGCCAGCAGCCGCGGUAAUACGGAGGGUGCAAGCGUUAUCCGGAUUCACUGGGUUUAAAGGGUGCGUAGGCGGAUAGGUAAGUCAGUGGUGAAAUCUCGGAGCUUAACUCCGAAACUGCCAUUGAUACUAUCUAUCUUGAAUAUUGUGGAGGUUUGCGGAAUAUGUCAUGUAGCGGUGAAAUGCUUAGAUAUGACAUAGAACACCUAUUGCGAAGGCAGCAGGCUACACAUAUAUUGACGCUGAGGCACGAAAGCGUGGGGAUCAAACAGG
rnacentral:rRNA from 1 species